GCCAGCCACGUCCCCUUCUGACUCCGCAGGAACCUCUAGUGCCUCAACAGACGAAGACAUGGAGACAGAGGCCGUCAAUGAGAUACUGGAAGACAUUCCAGAGCAUGAGGAAGACUAUCUUGACUCAACUCUGGAAGAUGAAGAAAUUAUUAUUGCAGAGUACCUAUCCUAUGUAGAAAAUAGGAAGUCAGCAACAAAGAAAAACUAAAUAAUGAACAGAAAUAGCGCUAAUUUUCUGCUUAUAAAUGCUAUCAUUAUGAAAAGGCUAAUGCAGCUCUUUCUGUUCUUACUUUUUAUCUGAAUUACAAGUCCUCUUUGGGUGUAGGAGGGGGUGGGCAGGGGACAAGUCCAGGAGGGGUCCCAGGGCCUUCAUGCGUGGUCUCGGGGAAGAAGCUUCCUCUGGCCUGGCGCAGGCCGUUCCAUCUGCCUCCCAGGUCUGCGUCCCUAACCCCUUCCCCAGCUUGGUGUUUUACCCCGAAACAGGAAGGAACAGGGGUCCUGUAGAACAGGGGUCCUGGGGAAGGUGUCCAGGGCAGGGUCCUGGGAAGGGUGUCCCGACCGCUUCCUCUCCAGCUGUGGCUCCAUCUGCCCAGCUUGCCUGCCUCCUGCACCCACUGCCCUGACCUUCCUGCUUCCCACGCUGCCAUCUCUGCCAGGGUGCCACAUGGGUUCCUGUGCCACCCUUUCCCCGCCCCUCAAAUCGUCCUUUAAGUCUUCCUUCCAAGUGCUGUGGGGCAUAACGAUGAGGCGCUGGCCUUGGGGGCCACACCAGGUCGCAGCAAAUGGCUUCAGCCUGGGACGCCAGUGUUUUAUGCUCUUAGUUCAGUAAAAUACGCCCCCGAAAUUCAAGAUUGAGUGUCAGGCUUUAUAUAUAUUCAGCAUUCCUCAUUACAGAAAUCUUCUAUUGAAUGGGAAAGGUUUAAAUGCUAACCAAAGCAAUUUAUUUUUAAUUAAUAUUUUUAGACUCUGUGCUGUCAUACUGAACUCACUGCUAGCUAAGAGACCUAUCAGAGAUUUAGAUAUAUUUUCUCCAGGUUUUUUGUGGGUUUUCUUUGUUGUUGUUGUUGUUCUAGCCAUGUGACAGAGGCUCUUUCUAAAAGUAUGUAGUUCGCUGUGUGUCGGCUCCAGCAGUAACCGUCCUCACUGCGCCACGCACUCCUCUGUAGAUGUGUGCCCAGUGGGAGUUCCUUCCAGCCCCAGGACCACAGCAGCAGCCAGGUGCCGAGUGGAUUGAGUGCCAGGUGCAUCCAAGACUUUCCCUCCCUUCCAGAAGGCACUGACUGAAGACAGGAUGGAUCAUGCGGAGCCGGCUGAAAUGCUCCAACUUUUUCAAAGUGUGGGUGGUCCAGUUUGGACUGAUGGGAAUCUUCUUGUCAUUCUUUUUAAACGGAUGAUACCGAUGGAAAUAAAAGGUGGGAA
rnacentral:lncRNA from 10 species